GUCAUGUUUGGAGCCCCAGUGGCACAACGCAUCUGGCUGUUAACCAGAAGGUUGGUGGUUCGAGCCCAGCUAGGGACG